GAUGAACGCUAGCUACAGGCUUAACACAUGCAAGUCGCGGGGCAGCAUGGGGGUUGCUUGCAAUCCCCGAUGGCGACCGGCGCACGGGUGAGUAACGCGUAUCCAACCUGCCCUUCACCACGGGAUAACCCGGCGAAAGUCGGACUAAUACCGUAUGUUGUCCAUUGACGGCAUCCGAUUUGGACGAAAGGCUUGGCGGUGAGGGAUGGGGAUGCGUCCGAUUAGCCAGACGGCGGGGUAACGGCCCACCGUGGCUACGAUCGGUAGGGGUUCUGAGAGGAAGGUCCCCCACACUGGAACUGAGACACGGUCCAGACUCCUACGGGAGGCAGCAGUGAGGAAUAUUGGUCAAGGGGCGUAAGCCUGAACCAGCCAAGUAGCGUGCAGGAUGACGGCCCUAUGGGUGGUAAACUGCUUUUAUGCGGGGAUAAAGUGGCCCACGUGUGGGCUUUUGCAGGUACCGCAUGAAUAAGGACCGGCUAAUUCCGUG
rnacentral:rRNA from 1 species